CGAACGCUGGCGGCGCGCCUAACACAUGCAAGUCGAACGAGCGAGAGAGAGCUUGCUUUCUCGAGCGAGUGGCGAACGGGUGAGUAACGCGUGAGGAACCUGCCUCAAAGAGGGGGACAACAGUUGGAAACGACUGCUAAUACCGCAUAAGCCCACGGCUCGGCAUCGAGCAGGGGGAAAAGGAGCAAUCCGCUUUGAGAUGGCCUCGCGUCCGAUUAGCUAGUUGGUGGGGUAACGGCCCACCAAGGCGACGAUCGGUAGCCGGACUGAGAGGUUGAACGGCCACAUUGGGACUGAGACACGGCCCAGACUCCUACGGGAGGCAGCAGUGGGGAAUAUUGCACAAUGGGGGAAACCCUGAUGCAGCGACGCCGCGUGGAGGAAGAAGGUCUUCGGAUUGUAAACUCCUGUUGUUGGGGAAGAUAAUGACGGUACCCAACAAGGAAGUGACGGCUAACUACGUG
rnacentral:rRNA from 1 species